UACGAAGGUCCCAAGCGUUAUCCGGAUUUAUUGGGUUUAAAGGGUGCGUAGGCGGUUUGUUAAGUCAGUGGUGAAAGCUCCAUGCCUAACAUGGAAAUUGCCAUUGAUACUGACGAUCUUGAGUACAUUUGAAGUGGGCGGAAUGUGUCAUGUAGCGGUGAAAUGCUUAGAUAUGACACAGAACACCGAUUGCGUAGGCAGCUCACUAAACUGUAACUGACGCUGAGGCACGAAAGCGUGGGGAGCAAACAGG
rnacentral:rRNA from 1 species